rnacentral:rRNA from 1 species
UACGUAGGGGGCAAGCGUUGUCCGGAUUUAUUGGGCGUAAAGAGCGUGUAGGCGGCCAUACAGGUCCGUUGUGAAAACUCGAGGCUUAACCUCGAGACGUCGAUGGAAACCGUAUGGCUAGAGUCCGGAAGAGGAGAGUGGAAUUCCUGGUGUAGCGGUGAAAUGCGCAGAUAUCAGGAAGAACACCCGUGGCGAAGGCGGCUCGCUGGGACGGUACUGACGCUGAGACGCGAAAGCGUGGGGAGCAAACAGG